rnacentral:rRNA from 1 species
UUUUUUUUUUUUUUUACCUUGUUUUUAUUCCGGCCCCGACGGGUUUAAACGAUCACGAAGCCUUGGGUGUGAUGCAUGGAGUCCAUGGGAUUCCUCGUAGGUGCACCGAAUGGUUAUCUGAACACGUCCACACUGCGGAUGAAGUUUUUGCUAUAGUCUCGGCGUUAGCUCUCAGCGUAAUCUUACAAGCUUGAGGUACCGCCUAGAGGUUCCGCCCCCCGGAUGUACAGACCACAUCUAAGUAGCACAUGGGCAACUGACAUGGCAGAACCUGUCGACAAGCCUUUGAGUGUGACGGCUUUGGUGUAAGAUCUUCAUACUAUAAGAGAAUACGGUGGUCAAAGAAGACCGCGAUUACGUCCACAGCAGCGCUAUAUUAGAUCCGAAGUGUCAUAAAAUUGGGGUAAAAAGCUCGUAGCAGGUUUUAGUAUGACAGUGAGACACCGGGGUUUCUCGGUGCAGCUUCUAUAUGGGCAAUCAGAGGUUGCAGGGAGAAUAAAUUCUCGGCGAGCGCAAAAAAGCAGAUUCAGGGGAACACCGGUGAUGAAGAGGUUUCUGGGCAUCACUGAGCUGUCAGCAAAGAGGGGAGAACCAGCAUUAGUGCCCCGUAGUACUCCCCGUAAUCAUUGACUCUAGGUGUGGGGUCUUUUCACUGAUUCAGUCCGUAGCUAACGCAUUAAGCGCCCCGCCUGGGGAGUACGGCCGCAAGGCUAAAACUCAAAGGAAUUGACGGGGGCCCGCACAAGCGGUGGAGCAUGUGGAUUAAUUCGAUGCAACGCGAAGAACCUUACCUGCGUUUGACAUACACCGGAAGCCCCCAGAGAUGUGGGUUUCUUUAAUGACAGCGUUCACGCGGUGCAUGCCUGUCGUUAGUUAGCGUCGUUAGAUGUUGGGUUAAGUAACUCAACGAGCGCAACCCUCCUUCCACGUUGCCAGCAACUAAUGGUGGGGAAUCAUGGGAGACUGCCGGGGUCAAAUCGGAGGAAGGUGGGGAAGACGUCAAGUUCUCAUUCCCCUUAUUACCAGGGCUUCAACCAUUCAACAAUGGCCGGUACAAAAGGGUGCGCUACCGUGAGGGGGAGCGAAUUCCAAAAAACCCGUUUCAGUUCGUAGAGGCUAUCCUACUCAGCACACGCCGCCCGUAGAGUUGAUCCUGGCUCAGCACACACGCGCCGCGCCCUACCCCCCCUUUCC